UACGUAGGGGGCAAGCGUUGUCCGGAAUCAUUGGGCGUAAAGCGCGCGUAGGCGGCCCGGGAAGUCCGGUGUGAAAGCCCGGGGCUCAACUCCGGGAGGCGGGUGGAUACUGCUGGGCUCGAGUCCGGAAGAGGCGAGUGGAAUUCCUGGUGUAGCGGUGAAAUGCGCAGAUAUCAGGAGGAACACCAGUGGCGAAGGCGGCUCGCUGGGACGGUACUGACGCUGAGACGCGAAAGCGUGGGGAGCAAACAGG
rnacentral:rRNA from 1 species